GCAAAGCCUCUCAGGAAGGGGAAGAAGGGAUUCAGCUGCAGGUCACUCCAGGACCUGAGAGCUGUCAGGAAAUCGGUUAGGCUUCCCCUCGCUGGCCUGGAGUGCUCUUGUAGUGGGAUCAUGUCAGCUGGAAGAUGGCUGUCCCCAGAACGUGAGUUCUCCAUGUCCCCAUUUAUUUACCACACUUCAGCAGCCUGGCCUGUAUCGCAUGGUCACAAUAUUUAUGACCUUAUACCAGGCUCAAGCUUAAACCACAGGGAAACUACAGUCAGCCUUUGGGAUCCUUUGCCUGUGACACUUGUCUUCUCAUCCUCAACUCUCCAGCUCCCAAGAUCUCAAACCUCCUGCUGUCACCUGCAGCAGUCCUUGUAGGAUGUGGGGCUCUGAGAGCAGAAAUGUGACUAGUUUAUUGAACCGUGUUUGUACUCGCUUAUUGUCUGAUUGGACCCUGUUUUCAGCUGACACCAUCAUAUAUUUUAAGAAAGAAAGUUUGUCUGAAAGACUGUUCUCCGGCUUCAAGAACCAUUGUCCCUCAGGUCUUGGCGUGAGAACUUUUCACCUUGUUCUUGUUAGCUGGGCAGCUUCUGGCCACAGUGUGCAUGUGCUGUCUGGGCAGGAGGAAUUUGUCUUACUGCUGACUCCCCUGCUCUCCCCUUAGAUACCACCUCUUCUCACUGCCUGGGAGCUAAGGGCGAAACAAAGACGGCAGUGAUUUAAGCUGGUUUUCUUGUGUUGGUUGUUUGUGGAGACAGGAAGGGUUUGUGAGGAGUGUCAGUUGGAGUGAGCGCCUGAGAGAACAGGUGCUGUCGCUGACCCUGACUUGAGCAGAGGUUCUUGGAGUCCUGCUGGGUCUGGGGCAGCAGAAGUGGCAGCUGUCUUGGCUCACACUCCUGGCCUCUGUAGAGCUCCUCCUGAGACCGAGAGGGAGACAAGCCCUGUAUUGAUGAGAUUCCAGCUAGUAACAUCCUAGUAAGUGUAUAACUGCACAAACAAAACCGACACAGGGAACAGAGUGGUGGUACACACCUGUGAUCCCAGUUCUUGGGAGGUUGAGUCGGAGGAUUCCAAAGCUCCAGGUCAGUAAAACUCUGUAUCUAAAAAAAUGAAAACAUUCAAAACCAACCAAAGAUCCCAAACCAAGCUAGAAUUUAAUACAGAGUAGUCAUCCUACCUGCCAUCCAGAAAACCUGUGCUCCACGCCGGAGCAGCAGAUGUGGGCUGAGGAAUGCGGGUCGGUGGAAGAGAGGAAGCGUCACUGGAGGUUUCCAUCUUUGCCUGAAAGUUAGCGCGACUGUGCUUCCCCUAUGGCCUCCAGAGACACAUUUGUGGUGGAAAGCUGAGAAAGCACUUGACAGUCAGGGAAGAAUUUCUUCUUUCUGUUAUUUUUAUUUUAUUUUUGUGUUUGUUUGUUUCGAGACAGGGUUUCUCUGUGUAGCCCUGGUUGUCCUGGAACUCACUCUGUAGACCAGGCUGGCCUCGAACUCAGAAAUCCGCCUGCCUCUGCCUCCCCAGUGCUGGGAUUAAAGGCAUGCGCCACCACGCCCGGCUUUCUGUUAUUUUUAAAUUAUAUAUUUGUUCACCCACCCACCCACAUGUGUACGCGUGUGGAGGUCAUUAGACAACUUGGGAGAGUUGGCUUUCUUCUACCCCGUGGGUCCUGGGGAUCAAUUUCUGAGUGUCAGUCUUGGUGGCAAGAAUCUUUACCCACGAAGCCAUCUUGCCAGUUCUCAGGAUUUCUUACUAUUUCUAGGACUGGACUCUAGAAGCUGGGGUCUGUCUCCUAAGAGAUGGCUACAGUCUGACUUGUCUUGGCGUCUGUCCUCAGUACUACCCAGGACAUGAGGGAAAGGGAUUCAGGAGUUCACCAUACUCUUUUGUGGCUCCUGGCAAAAUGUUUAGCUUGGCUAUACAGUGAUGUUUCCAGAAUUUAAACCCCCUUUCAGGAGUUGGCAUAGUUGGUGCCCUUAGGGAUUCCAUGAGGCUUCACUGUGGUCUUUUCUAGAAUGAGGAAUGCAUUGAGAUUAUUCUCAGGCAUGGGACAUGAGGCAAGUAGGGGGUUCAGUGUGUCCUAGUGGCAGGGAACCUAGCUGACUCUGCGCAUGCCUCUAGGCUGCUCACAUGGUUCCAGGUCAUCUACUGUAACUGUGUAAAGGAAGCCCCUUUAUUUCCUGCAUCUCCUCCUAAAUCAGCUGCUUAAUGGCUUUCCAUUAAAGUCCUUCCCAGAACUCAACCUGGACUUUAGAGUGCCUGGCUCCAGGGCCAGAGUUUUUGCUCUGCUGGUGAGACAUGUUCCUGAGUACUGUAGUGCCAAAGUCCUACCACCCUAGCCAGUUCUCCUUUCCUGACCCUCAAACUUUUCCUCCUUCUUCAGAUAGCCUUAGUUGGUGGGAUAGAGUAUCACACCACGGUAACCUCUUUCCGCUCAUUAAAAACAUGUGGGCUUCUUGCUUUCAGGAAUAUUUAAACAGUUUCACAAUUCUUUUUUUAUUAUUAUUAUAUGUAAGUACACUGUAGCUGUCUUCAGACACUCCAGAAGAGGGCAUCAGAUCUCAUUAUAGAUGGUUGUGAGCCACCAUGUGGUUGCUGGGUUUUGAACUCAGGGCCUUCGGAAGAGCAGUCAGUGCUCUUAAUCGCUGAGCCAUCUCUCCAGCCCCAGUGUCACAAUUCUUUAGCCCAUAGUUAAGUAAGUCUAAGCAAUAAACAUAGGUUUAACAUAUAUUGAACAAAUAAUAUUUGUAUACAGAAGCUCAUUUGGGUAUCUUUGUUUUCUGGAUUGUUUUCCAAUUUAGGCAACAUAUUUUUUUGUCGUAUUGUUCUGAGUCUUACUAGAGAAAGAUAAAAAUGGCUUAUAUGUAAGAGGUAACUGGUUCUGUAUAUAUAUUGUUUUGUUUUUUAUUUUUGGUUUCAACAUGUAGUCCUGGAACUCACUAUGUAGAUGAGGCUGGCCUCAAAUUCAUGGAAAACCACCUACCUCUGCCUUCUAAGUGCAAGGAUUAAUGGUGUCUGUCGGUAUGCCCAUUUCUAAUCUUUAAUUUUUCAUUGUUUUAUGCAAAUUCCAUGCCAUUAGUAUUUUGUUUAUUACCUUGUAACUUUUAGAUACAAAGAAGUUCAUGUGCUUAUUUAAGUUUAUGAUUAGCUAAAAUUUUAACUAAUUUAAAAAAGUGUUUUCCUGCUAACAGCCGUUGUUUUGUUGAAGCAUACUCAGGGCUGUGGAGAUGGUGCAGCAUGUUGUUGCCAAGUCUGAUGGCCUGGAUUCUGUCCCCAGAACCCACUCCUGAGAGUUGUUCUCUGACCUCUAUGUACAUGUGAUGUACAUACACACACCCAUGAUAAAUAAAU
rnacentral:lncRNA from 1 species